rnacentral:rRNA from 1 species
CUGAGAGGGUGACCGGCCACAUUUGGACUGAGACACGGCCCAAACUCCUACGGGAGGCAGCAGUGGGGAAUAUUGCACAAUGGGGGAAACCCUGAUGCAGCGACGCCGCGUGAGGGAAGAAGUAUUUCGGUAUGUAAAGCUCUAUCAGCAGGGAAGAUAAUGACGGUACCUGACUAAGAAGCCCGGGCUAACUACGUGCCAGC